ACUCCUAGCGGGAGGCAGCAGGUAGGGAAUGAUGGACAAUGGGGGAAACCCUGAUCCAGCCAUGCCGCGUGUGUGAAGAAGGCCUUCGGGUUGUAAAGCACUUUCAGUGGGGAGGAAAGGUUGAUGGUUAAUACCUAUCAGCUGUGACGUUACCCACAGAAGAAGCACCGGCUAACUCCGUGCCAGCAGCCGCGGUAAUACGGAGGGUGCAAGCGUUAAUCGGAAUUACUGGGCGUAAAGCGUGCGCAGGCGGUCUGUUAAGCGAGAUGUG
rnacentral:rRNA from 1 species